GACGAACGCUGGCGGCGUGCUUAACACAUGCAAGUCGAACGGAAAGGCCCUGCUUUUGUGGGGUGCUCGAGUGGCGAACGGGUGAGUAACACGUGAGUAACCUGCCCUUGACUUUGGGAUAACUUCAGGAAACUGGGGCUAAUACCGGAUAGGAGCUCCUGCUGCAUGGUGGGGGUUGGAAAGUUUCGGCGGUUGGGGAUGGACUCGCGGCUUAUCAGCUUGUUGGUGGGGUAGUGGCUUACCAAGGCUUUGGCGGGUAGCCGGCCUGAGAGGGUGACCGGCCACAUUGGGACUGGGAUACGGCCCAGACUCCUACGGGAGGCAGCAGUGGGGAAUAUUGCACCAUGGGCGGAAGCCUGAUGCAGCAACGCCGCGUGCGGGAUGACGGCCUUCGGGUUGUAAACCGCUUUCGCCUGUGACGAAGCGUGAGUGACGGUAAUGGGUAAAGAAGCACCGGCUAACUACGUG
rnacentral:rRNA from 1 species